GACGAACGCUGGCGGCGUGCCUAAUACAUGCAAGUUGAGCGCUGAAGGUUGGUCCUUGUACCAACUGGAUGAGCAGCGAACGGGUGAGUAACGCGUGGGGAAUCUGCCUUUGAGCGGGGGACAACAUUUGGAAACGAAUGCUAAUACCGCAUAAAAACUUUAAACACAAGUUUUAAGUUUGAAAGAUGCAAUUGCAUCACUCAAAGAUGAUCCCGCGUUGUAUUAGCUAGUCGGUGAGGUAAAGGCUCACCAAGGCGAUGAUACAUAGCCGACCUGAGAGGGUGAGCGGCCACAUUGGGACUGAGACACGGCCCAAACUCCUACGGGAGGCAGCAGUAGGGAAUCUUCGGCAAUAGACGAAAGUCUGACCGAGCAACGCCGCGUGAGUGAAGAAGGUUUUCGGAUCGUAAAACUCUGUUGGUAGAGAAGAACGUUGGUGAGAGUGGAAAGCUCAUCAAGUGACGGUAACUACCCAGAAAGGGACGGCUAACUACGUG
rnacentral:rRNA from 1 species